CCGGAAGUCGCGAAGGUUACCUCCAGCACUAGGAACUGUGAGAGCUGACUUUGCCAGUGGAGUCUUGCAUCGCGGUUGCGGUUUCUCUGGUCACCCUUGGGACUACAAAUUAAGAACCAUGGCUUUGCUUUGUUCACAACAAAACAGAAGACCAAGGCAGACAAGGUUAAUCAUUUUAAAACUUGCUUCAAGGACCAACAGCGUGUCUCCAACCACAGACACAAAAAUGCAUGGUCAUCUCAUUUGUGACAAGGAUAACCGUGCAGCGCAAUGAGACAAAGGAAGAAAUGUCAUCUGUAACAAGAAAUCCAAAACAGGAAAUAAUUUCUGAACUCCACUGUUCGGCUGCAGAAGGGGAUGUUGCCAGGUUGGCAGGGAUACUCAGUCAUUCUCCAUCUCUUCUCAACUCAGCCUCCGAAAAUGGCUGGACUGCCUUAAUGUAUGCUGCAAGGAAUGGGCACCCUGAUAUUGUCCAGCUUCUGCUGGAGAAAGGAUGUGACAGAUCACUUGUCAAUAAAUCAAGGCAAACUGCGCUGGAUAUCGCUGUGUUUUGGGGUUAUAAGCAUAUAGCUAACAUGUUAGCUAAUGCAAAAGGUGGGAAGAAGCCUUGGUUCCUAACCAGUGAAGUAGACGAAUGUGAAAAUUAUUUUAGCAGAACACUACUGGACCGGAAAAGUGACAAAAGGGCUAAUUCUGACUGGCUGCAGGCUAAGGAGAGCCACCCGGCCACAGUCUAUGUCCUUUUCUCAGACUUAAACCCCUUGGUCACUCUGGGUGGUAAUAAAGACAGUUCACAGCAGCCAGAAGUCAAGCUCUGCCAGCUGAACUACACGGAUGUGAAGGAUUACUUGGCUCAGCCUGAGACAGUCACCUUGGUGUUCCUCGGAGUAGAACUUGAGAUGCGGCGGAAAGGAUCGCACAAUUAUGCUGGGGGAGUCCCGGAGGAGGACGAGGAUGGUUUGGUUGCCUGGUUUGCUCUCGGUAUAGAACCUGGUGCCGCCGAAGAGUUUAAGCAAAGACAUGAAAACUGUUAUUUUCUUCACCCUCCGAUGCCAGCCCUUCUGCAGUUGAAAGAAAAAGAAGCUGGGGUCGUAGCUCAAGCAAGAUCUGUUCUUGCAUGGCACAGUCGAUAUAAGUUCUGCCCAACCUGUGGCAGCGCAACCAAAAUCGAAGAAGGUGGCUAUAAAAGAGUCUGUUUAAGAGAAAACUGCCCUAGUCUCCAUGGCGUCCACAAUACAUCUUAUCCAAGAGUCGACCCAGUAGUAAUCAUGCAGGUUAUCCAUCCAGAUGGAACCAAAUGUCUUUUAGGCAGGCAAAAGCGAUUUCCCCCAGGCAUGUUUACUUGUCUCGCUGGAUUUAUUGAACCUGGGGAGACAAUAGAAGAUGCCGUGCGGAGAGAAGUGGAAGAGGAAAGCGGAGUCAAAGUGGGCCAUGUUCAGUAUGUCUCUUGUCAGCCAUGGCCAAUGCCCUCCUCCUUAAUGAUUGGUUGUUUAGCUGUGGCAGUGUCUACAGAAAUUAAAGUUGACAAGAAUGAAAUAGAGGAUGCCCGAUGGUUCACCAGAGAACAGGUUAUGGAUGUCCUUACCAAAGGGAAGCAGCAAGCAUUCUUUGUACCACCAAGCCGCGCCAUAGCACAUCAGUUAAUCAAACACUGGGUUAGAAUGAACCCCAAUCUCUAAUGAAAACUACUAGCAUCUGUUGGAGUAUAAUUUAAUUAUAAUGCUACUUAUUUUUCAAUUUGUGAUGAAUCGAAGCUCAUAGCCUGACCCAGCAAAGCAAGCCUAUAAUUCCUGACAAUCAGGCCUGAGGCUGGAGGAUUGCAAAUUCAAGACCCACCUGCACCACAGAGUGAAUUUGAAAGCAUGCUGGACACCUUAGUGAAACCCUGUCUCAAAAUAAGGAAUAAGAAAAGUGGUGAGGCUAUUGCUCAAUGGUAGGGCGCUCGCAGACCCUGUACUUCAAUUCACUGUAACAGACACACAGAGAGCAGUCAACGCUUGCAUUGUCGUGAAAAUUAGCCAGCCUGCUAAAGAUACAGCUAGUGAAGAGAAGACAGAAUGAAAAAGGCGAGCCCAGGAGAUGGAAAAGUAUAAGCUUUGAUGCUACAAGGACAUGUGAGAGAUGGGCUGCGGUGAGGAGGCAGAGGUUCUAUGCAAUGCCGGUAAAUGCCUGUAUUUUCCAAAAGUUGUUGAGUAGGCAAGAACUGCAGGAAGUAAUUGUGAAAAUAAAUACCAAAAGCAACUUUCCUUCUUCUAUACCAUUCUUGGUAUUCUUCUUCUCCAAAUACUAAAGUAGAAAUCAAAACAGCUCCUAAAGUAAACAUGGAUUUAUUUGGUUUUGUUUUAAAAUCUUGAUGGUUUCAUGCAUGUGUGUACAUACUGGAUUUUGGCUGUUUUCUAUCCCCAUUCCUCUCCUUCACCACCCCCAUCUUUGCAACAAAUCCUCCUUCUCUUUGCAUAUUCAGUGUGUGUGUGACUGUGGGAGCCAGUUUUCAGGUUCCUAGUG